rnacentral:rRNA from 1 species
GGGGGGACCACCCUCCAACCCUAAAUACUACCCAGUGACCGAUAGCGUAUAGUACUGUGAAGGAAAGGUGAAAAGCACCCCGGGAGGGGAGUGAAAAAGAACCUGAAACCCUGUGCCUACAAGCACCUAGAGCGCGUCAAUGCGUGAUAGGGUACUUUUUGUAGAACGGUCCGGCGAGCGAUUGUAUGCAGCAAGGUUAAGGACUUAAGGUCUGGAGCCGAAGCGAAAGCGAGUUUGAAAAGGGCGUUAAGUUGCAUAUAAUGGGCCCGAAACCGGGUGACCUACCCAUGGUCAGGUUGAAGUGGAAGUAAAAUUCCAUGGAGGACCGAACCGACCUCCGUUGAAAAGGCGGCGGAUGAACUGUGGGUAGCGGAGAAAUUCCAAUCGAACCCGGAGAUAGCUGGUUCUCCCCGAAAUAGUUUUAGGACUAGCCUCAAGUUAGAUACCUGGAGGUAAAGCACUGAAUAGCCUAGCGGCCGAGAGGUUAGCGAAGCUUAUCAAACUCAGAAUGCCAGAGUAUUGAUGCUUGGGAGUCAGACAGUGUCAGAUAAAUGUCAUUGUCAAAAGGGAAACAGCCCAGAUCUACAGCUAAGGUCCCAAAGUCAGGUUAAGUGGAAAACGAUGUGAAGAUACGCAGACAACCAGGAUGUUGGCUCAGAAGCAGCCACUCAUUCAAAGAGUGCGUAAUAGCUCACUGGUCGAGCGUCUUUGCGCGGAGAAUUUAACGGGGCUAAACCUGACACCGAAGCUUAGGCAAUCCAGCAAUGGAUUGGGUAGGGGAGCGUUGUAUACGCGGAGAAACAGUAGCGUAAGCGGCUGUGGAGUGUAUAGAAGUGAGAAUGCCGGAAUGAGUAGCGCGAAUGCAGUGAGAAUCUGCAUGGCCGAAAGCCUCAGGUUUUUGGAGGAAGGUUCGUCCGCUCCAAGUUAGUCGGGAGCUAAGGUGAGGCCGGAAGGCGUAGCCGAUGCACAGACGGUAGAGAUUCCGUCACCACCAAAAGAGUUAAGCACAGGGACACAUUUGAAGUCUCAGAGCCGGGUGUUGGUUCCGGUAGAGAUCGAGGGAAGUUAGUACCGAAGUCUGGGAUGGAAGAUGGCGAGAAAAGCUGUGUGUAUUUCUGAGGUGCCCGUACCGCAAACCGACACAGGUAGGUAGGAAGAAGAUUCUAAGGCCAACGGGAGAAGGGUUGUUAAGGAACUCGGCAAAUUGACCCCGUAACUUCGGGAGAAGGGGUGCUCCAGAGAUGGAGCCGCAGAGAAUCGGCCCAAGCAACUGUUUACCAAAAACACAGGUUUGUGCUAAAUCGAAAGAUGACGUAUACGAGCUGACGCCUGCCCGGUGCUGGAAGGUUAAGAGGAGAUGUGCAAGCAUUGAAUCGAAGCCCCAGUGAACGGCGGCCGUAACUAUAACGGUCCUAAGGUAGCGAAAUUCCUUGUCAGGUAAG